UGUCCCCCCAUUGGGUACCGCUUUGUGCGGUGAGGGAAGACACGCUGCUCUCGGAUGCACCAUUGGUGAGAAUCUCGAGCGGAGGGAUGUCCCACUUGGAAACAAUUAUCGGCUUUCCUCGACGACCCUCAUCUUGAAAUAAUAACUUAUUUGACACCGUCGAUGGAGGGGGAGGCCCAGGGUCCUAUGCGUGAAUUAGGCAUUCCGCACACCUAAGACGAUCAGAUGUUCGAUUCGAUCAACGAUCGAGACUGAGACCGUGAUCCAGUUGAUCGGGCAUCACCUCCGCCGCAGGCAUCACUUCUUCCCCCUCAGAGUCAUUAUUUUGAUGAUCUGUAUGCUCACCUGACUGGAUUUAUAGUGCAGGAGAUCGGCGCGCUGCGUCAAGAGCUGAUAAUAGUUAUAUUUGAGGAGGUUGGCGUGCUGCGUCGAGAGAUGGUAGAGAAGAUCGAUUAUCUAGGAUGCGAGUUAGUAGGGAGGGUCGAAGAUAUAUCCGAUGAUGUUAGAUUACUACGUGGCCAUUUAUGGGACCUUCAAGAGAUUACAGCACUCCGAGGUGAUAUAGUCGGUAAACGAUGGGGUGACGAAGGUGGCGACCGGGGUAGUAAUCGAGAGGAGGAUAGAAAUGGGGUCACCAGCAGUCGUGGUUAGAGGAUAUAUUGGAAUCCUUUUUAAAGUCCAUAGAGUG